AUGAACGCUGGCGGCGUGCCUAAUACCUGCAAGUCGAGCGAACAGACGAGGAGCUUGCUCCUCUGACGUUAGCGGCGGACGGGUGAGUAACACGUGGAUAACCUACCUAUAAGACUGGGAUAACUUCGGGAAACCGGAGCUAAUACCGGAUAAUAUAUUGAACCGCAUGGUUCAAUAGUGAAAGACGGUUUUGCUGUCACUUAUAGAUGGAUCCGCGCCGCAUUAGCUAGUUGGUAAGGUAACGGCUUACCAAGGCAACGAUGCGUAGCCGACCUGAGAGGGUGAUCGGCCACACUGGAACUGAGACACGGUCCAGACUCCUACGGGAGGCAGCAGUGGGGAAUCUUCCGCAAUGGGCGAAAGCCUGACGGAGCAACGCCGCGUGAGUGAUGAAGGUCUUCGGAUCGUAAAACUCUGUUAUUAGGGAAGAACAAAUGUGUAAGUAACUAUGCACGUCUUGACGGUACCUAAUCAGAAAGCCACGGCUAACUACGUG
rnacentral:rRNA from 1 species